AUAAAUCAGAAUAGCGUGGCCGUCCUUCAGACCCCUCCAGACAUCCAAUCAGAACAUUCAAGGGAUGGUGAUAUGGAUGAUAGUCGAGAUCAAGGGUGUUGCAGAUCUUCUGGCUUCCAUGGCCCACAUUGGAAGAAGCAUUGUCUUGGGCCACACGUAAAAUACACGAAUGAUAGCUGAAGGAGAACUUAUGGAUUGUGAUGGAAAAUCAGAAUCUAGUCCUGAGCGGGAAGCUGUGAAUGAUGAAACUAAGGGAGUGGAAGGAAC
rnacentral:lncRNA from 1 species